rnacentral:lncRNA from 1 species
GGAAAUUAUGAUUCCAUCUUUAAGAGACCCGCUGCUGAGUACUGGUGGGUUUAAUUUAAUUGUCUGAUAGAAGUAAGAGAAAUGGAUGAUCAUCAUCAUCAUCAUCAUCAUCAUCUCUUCAUCACCUUCAUCAUUCUCCUGAUCUCACUGUCAUCAGCACUAAUGACAGAAGCUGCAGCGGAUUCGCAUCCAAGAUCAGUGUUGUUGAAAGUGGCGGUGGGGGCUUCGGUAUGUGUUAUUGUCUUGAUUCUGCUGCUGGUGGUCGUGUUGUGUUGCGUCAGUGCGGUUUGGAGGAGGUCGAAGAUGGCUGAGAUGCAGAGAAAUGGCCGAUGAUCGACGAUGAUGGAAAACUAAGCUUGGAAUGGUGAAGUGAGGGUUUAGUAAAUUUCUCUGGUGAUGGAUCAAUGAUGAAUAAUGAAGCAAGAAGACGAAGCAGACACUCUGUUGUGGUUUAGUUUCCUGUUUCCUGUUUCUGUGUUCUGUUCCUUGUUUUGUAAUCUUGUUUUUAUAAUGUGACACCAUGUUUGUUAUCUUUGAUGUUCCACUGUGUCUUUAGAGACUUUUAUUCGGAUCACAUUGUCACUAUUGAUCAAGUGUGUACGUUUUUGCUUGAGAUCAAGCCAAUGCCGGUUGGCAUCGUCGACCGAAACAUCAUCGUGAGAACAUUAUCAAAAACACUAGUGCAAGAAGUUUCGAUUACGGAAAAUUUCAUUCAUUUCUCUCAUCCCACACAAAUCAACAAAUCGCGAUACAAAAGAAGAGUUACUACAAAUACUUCGAAAUCUCUGCUUUUGUAACGAAAUCCGUCCCAGCAACUUGAAAACGAAAAUCCUUAAGGCUUGGCGGGGAAGGAGCCUUAGAUAUUUAGAUUUGUCCAGAUUUUGCUCAAAAUAAAUCACACAUUUGACUAAUAAAAAGUAUUCAAUUAUGUAUUGUUAACCCGAUAUAAUCAUUUUGAAUUUCGCCAAUUUAAAUAAAUCGUUUCUAUUUUCAUUUCACUCUGUUUUCAAUACGAUUUGAUUUUAACUAGACCACCAAAGUAAAACAUGUCUUUUAGAAAAAAAAUUAUUAUUUCAUUAUAAUAUUAUAUUAUAAACCGUGUUAUCCUAAUAACUAACAUUAUUAAAAAUUAAUUCAAAUUAACUUAUAUAUUAUUCAAUAUUCAUCCCUUCAUAUCUUGCUUCGUGACUUAGGAUUUGUAUAACAUUUUCCUCUGAAAAAACUGGGUCCAUUCACAGGCCCAUGGGUCAAGAGCCCAAAUUCUAGGAUUUCAGGGCCCACGCCGAAAAAUGACCAUUACACUGAAAUCUGGGAAUGUUAAUAUGUUAAUGGUUGGAAGCUCAAUGAUUUAAUUAAUAGAAUAUAAUAGUUGACACAAUUUUUAUAUUGAAGAAAAUAAAAAUAAAAUAGGUAUUCCUUUGUGGAAUGAGAUUGAAUUUAAACUCGAUAUUUUAAAAUCAUCAACGUAUAAUUCUACCAAGUACUAAUUGAGCUAUUCUAUUUUGACAAAUAACGAUAACUCGAAUUAUGAAAAAACUAACAAAUUUAGAUCAUGACAUGCAUGGAUACAAACAUGUCAAAUACAAAUUAACAACUGUAACUCAGCCAGAAGUACAUAUGCAUUACCCUUUUGCUCCUCUCCAUUCCUUCCUUCAAAGGACAAGGUAAUUUAUUAUGACAACAAUAAGAAAAACAACAUGGAACAGUAGUAGUAGUAGUACUGUUAGUUCUUAGUAUAUAUAUAUAUAUAUGUAACUGUUAAUAAGAGAAGCUGUUCAGGGAGUAGGAGUCAUGAUUCUAGCAGGAGGAGAGGUGGAAUUAGCUUUAGCUGUUGAUCUUCUUCUGGCAGGAUCAGCUAGCCCUAUGAACAACUCUGUCUCAACCUCCAUACUCUCUUCAUCAUCAUCACCAUCUUCUUCUUCUGCUAUAACCACUAUGUCCAGUUGUUGAUUGUGAUGAUGAUGCUUCACCUUCGUGCUGUAACUUGAUAGCUUCAUUGAUGGCUCCACUCCACACUAUACAGCAGCCAAAAGAUCACACUAAAGUUAUGUUGAUUAAUUAUAUAGAAUCAAUGUUCAUGAUAAUGGUAUUGGAGAUUUUGUUGCACGAGACGGACCGAAAUUGUGCAAACUUCAGACACUUCUGAAAGCUACCGUUUGGAGGAUUGCAGUAAAGUUCAAGAAGGAGCAAUAAAUCAUUUGGUUGUAAUUACCUUUUCCCUCAGCUUUUUGUUCUCUUCCAGCAAGAUCUUCUCCUGCAUUACCAUAUUAACCAGGUUCUUUGUUAUUGAUUAACAAGACCAUUACGAUGAGUAUUAUGAAAGAAAGAAAAAUAACAGUUCAUUUACCUCUUCCCGUAGCUUGUCAAUCUGAUCCAUAAACAGCUGGUUCUGAAAGAAAGAGAUUACGGUUGAUCAAGUUCGUCAAUGUUUAGAUUUAUAACAGUUUGCUCUAAUGCUCGAGUUGCAAAACGUAUCGAAGCAAGUACUAACCAAUAACAAGUCAAUAAAGAAAGUACCUUUCUUGCCCUAAUUCUACUCAAGCUUCUCUCCAGCUGACAUUCUAUCUUUCUGAGCUCAGCAGUGGAACAUGCUUCCAAACAUUCUCCCAUUAGUUGCCUGCCAAAUUCAUAAGAAUUUUUGUUUUAUAAGAACAGUUCAUUUCAUAUGUACACAGACACCUAACUGAUUCAAAGAACGGUAAAUCACCUCUUUGAUAUUUCGAGUUGCUCUAUCUUCUUCUCCAUGCUCAAGCCAUCGUUAUCCUGAAUCAUGUUAUCUUCGAACUCUUUGCUUCCUGGUCCAAUAUCCUUAUGCUUCUUCUCGUACCGCUCUAUCGUUUUGGUGAUACUGGAAAUGACAAGAAUGAACUUCUUGAGAUUCUAGCAUCUACCAUUCAAGAGUUUAGAAUACCAUCUCACCUAAUUAGAAUUGGAGUGCCAAAUCUCAACCAUACAUCUUAGAUAAGAUACUAAUUACCAUACAACUUGUUCAAACCGACGCGAAGUCACACAACUUAAACCGACACCAAGCCAGUAAACAUGAUGCCAAAACACGAAAGACUUGCAGUUUUAUACAUCUUUUGACGUUCAGUAGCUCAUUACCAACUGAAGCCAAAGUAACAUAACGGUUUUCUUGUAGCGAGUUUUGGUAUCCAAAGGUCGACUUGAUCGUCGCACAUAUAUCAAAUGAAUUAUAAAUGCGAGAGUUGGUGCUAACAAUAUCAAAUGAAAAAUCAAUCGGAUAAUAACAUGUAGAAAUCCAUCUAUAGAAAGCUAUCAGAUUAAUAUAGUGAUUAAUGAUCAACUUCGAGUUAAGUACCUUUUAAGCUGUUGAUAAGUAGGUUAAUAAAAAUCUUGAUGAUCAAUACAACACAAGGCAAUGUUCAAGUGUACGUAUCAUGAAUUCUUUUAAUGAGCUAUUGACCAUUACUUUAUUAGGUACAAAAAGCACAUCCACAAAGUAAAUAAUAAUAAAUUAUUGACCAGAAAUGUAAUUUUUUUGAUCUUUAAAUAAUAUCUUUUUAUCUAAUUUUACAUUCAAAUCAAUUUUAGAAGAUAACGAAUCAAAGAUCAAGCAAACAACUAGUCAAUGGAAAGACCAUUUUAUUGAAACCAUAUAGUGUUAGUUGACGAUUGUUGUUUAAAUUUAAGAGACAAAUAACAGACACAUUCAAAUACAACUGUAUACCAAUAAUAUCUAAAAAAUAGUUUUAGUAGUCAUAGUAAAUAUGUGGAUUCCUAGGUGGUUUGAAUAUCAAUGACCUCUAUACAUACUAAAUAAUUUUGCUUUAUCUGUCAAGGGGGCUGCAUGCAACCCCUAAUGUUCGUCUUUGUGCAUGAGUUCAGACCCAUACAAAGGAUUGACGAUACAAUUGAGGUAAAAGAACUGAAAACAAACCGCCGAUAACUAAAAAGAAGGAGCUUCGAAAAAAAGGCGGAAACCAAUGAAAAAACAUAUGUUAGUAAAUUGUAAACUAAGCAACUUAGAUGCUCUUAAGACCCUUUAAGUCCAUCCAUCAACAUUAGCUAUGAACCUAUAUCAUGGCAACAUUGGUUAGCAACUCAGGAUCAACAGUUCAAUUAUUUCCAAAAGGAUUGAGGCCAGGUAAUUAGUAAUCAUGUAUGCAAACUUGUCUUUCCAACAGCAACACAAAUGUAGUUUACAACAGAGAAGAACAGUACUAAUUAACACAUAUAAUAACCAAUCAGAAGAAUCUCUCCUAGCUACCUACCUUGUUGUGUGUGAGUAAACAAAAAACAAGAAUCUGACAGCAUACAAGAAAUCAGUAUACUUCUCCCCCAAAGCAAUUCAAAGACUCACUCUUUUACACAAAUAUCAAGAACAGUAAACUAAUAAUACUAAUUCAAUCGGUCUGACUAUGCUAUACAAAACACAUCACAACGUUGCUUACCUUGGAGAAAACAUUUCUGAGAUUCAUGAACAAGAAAAUGGACUUGUUGCAAUAAAAUAACAGAAAAAACAGUAGAAGGUGGGAUAGGAACCAAGUUCUUGCCUCUCCUCCCCAAACCUAUGGGAGCAUCAAGCUAGAUUCCAACUAUAUUCCUUUUCCAGCUAUCUUUUGUGUAACCAUUAUUUUUGCUACAGUGUUGUAUCCACUAUCCACCCACCAAAAAACUUAAAGGUCUCCUGUUUCUG